GGCCGUGGAUAAUUACUUGCUAGGAAUCGAUUUGUUAUGAAUGUGUGACCUUUAUGUAGAUAUAUUCAAAAGAUCUUUUGUUUUUGUUAGGAACACGUCUGGACCACAGAUCCUGACAAGUCAGAUUGGGGUAUUAGGUCUGAUAUAUGUUUUGUCUGUUUAUUAAGAGCAUUUCAGUCAGGGUUCACUCCAUGUUACAGAUAUUGCAGACGAAAACUAUGCGAAACAGCCAAAUCCUGAUCGACAGCCAUGGCAAUCCAUAGGGGCAAUGGCCUGAAACAGAGGAUCCAGGAAUCGACAUUAUCAAACAGGGUAGAUGGAUCAUCUAUGUUGGGAGGACAGGCAAUCUACACCAACGUCCGCGGUCACCAACGUCCUACGGGAAGGUGCAAGCCAUCGACAGACAUAUCCAUGACAUUGUUGAUACCGCUGACAGGAAGCACAGCUACAACUAUGUGGUUGACCACGGCCAGAAGUGUAAUGAGCACUGUUAUGAACACCACAUUACUCAGUUGCAAGGUCGGCGGCCAGAGUUCAACAUAGAGAGAGGAGAUGCGUGUACCUAUUGUCGUUUGUGUGUCCAAUGUAAGAGAAGAUAGACCUGGUGACAAGGA